rnacentral:lncRNA from 10 species
GAGAGGGAAGCAGGUCCUGACAGCGAGACAAACUCGCGCCUCGUGCUUUGUAAAACGAGAAAUUUGAAGUGCUGUGCCAAGUCAGCCCUCUGAGGUCGGCUCCGACUUCCCAUUUGCUUUUUGUAAUCGGUAAUGAUGUUUAAAAGGUGCUUUCGAACGAUCUCAUUUGAUGCUGAGGCAACCGGGACGUUUAGUCCCAUUUUACAGAUGAAGUAACUGAGUCUGCUCAGUAGGUGAGAAGACUUGCCCGACGCUACACCACUCGUCAGCAUCUGGACCACUGCCCGGGCCCAGUGCUGCAGAACCCCAUCCUGGAACUUUUAUAAUGCUAAUGAGACCAUCACUCAGGUUAUAACUGAACUUCAAGGCCUUCCUAGAAAUCUUUCCUCCAGGCUGGAGUUCAUGUAGGGGCCGGACACGUGGCUCACGCCUGGAAUCCCGGCACUUUGGGAGGCUGAGUCAGGAGGAUCAGUUGAGCCCAGGAAUUCUAGACCAGCCCCAGCAACACGGCAAGACCCUGUCUCUACAAAAAAAUUUAAAAAAAUAAAAAUUAACCAGGUUUGGUGGGGCACACCUGUCCCAGCUUCUAGGGAGACUGAGGUGGGAGGAUGGCUUGAGCCGGAGAGGUCAAGGCUGCAGUGAGCUGUGGUCGUGCAACUGUACUCCAGCCUGGGUGACAGAGUGAGACCCUAUCUCAAAAACUAAAAAAUAAAAAAAA